ncrna:Petromyzon marinus (sea lamprey) microRNA pma-mir-182 precursor
GACUGUGUUUGGCAAUGGUAGAACUCACACUGGCCAGAGAGCUCUCCGGGGGUUCUAGACUUGCCAAUUACAGUC